UAACCUGCCUGUAAGACUGGGAUAACUCCGGGAAACCGGGGCUAAUACCGGAUGGUUGUUUGAACCGCAUGGUUCAAACAUAAAAGGUGGCUUCGGCUACCACUUACAGAUGGACCCGCGGCGCAUUAGCUAGUUGGUGAGGUAACGGCUCACCAAGGCAACGAUGCGUAGCCGACCUGAGAGGGUGAUCGGCCACACUGGGACUGAGACACGGCCCAGACUCCUACGGGAGGCAGCAGUAGGGAAUCUUCCGCAAUGGACGAAAGUCUGACGGAGCAACGCCGCGUGAGUGAUGAAGGUUUUCGGAUCGUAAAGCUCUGUUGUUAGGGAAGAACAAGUACCGUUCGAAUAGGGCGGUACCUUGACGGUACCUAACCAGAAAGCCACGGCUAACUACGUGCCAGCAGCCGCGGUAAUACGUAGGUGGCAAGCGUUGUCCGGAAUUAUUGGGCGUAAAGGGCUCGCAGGCGGUUUCUUUAAGUCUGAUGUGAAAGCCCCCGGCUCAACCGGGGAGGGUCAUUGGAAACUGGGGAACUUGAGUGCAGAAGAGGAGAGUGGAAUUCCACGUGUAGCGGUGAAAUGCGUAGAGAUGUGGAGGAACACCAGUGGCGAAGGCGACUCUCUGGUCUGUAACUGACGCUGAGGAGCGAAAGCGUGGGGAGCGAACAGGAUUAGAUUACCCUGGUAGUCCACGCCGUAAACGA
rnacentral:rRNA from 1 species